rnacentral:lncRNA from 10 species
GGAUUCGGGGAUGUCCCUCAAGUACUCUUUCAGUGGUUUUUAUAAAUGACUCAAAAGUUAUGGUGAAAUUUUUAAGUGCCAAAGACAUAAAAUAUGAGUGGUGGUUUGUAUCCAAUCAAAAAUCCUCAAAAAACACUUCUGCACUUAAGCACACUAUACUUUUUUCACCCAAAGUACCAAAUCAAACUAGUCAGGAUACCUACCUUUGUACAAUGUCAGACUCCAGUUAAUAACUCCCCUAGGGCAGAGGGCAUAUGCACUGAUUUACUUUGUACAAAUUAACCAGCAUCAGGCAAUCAGGCCUGUGCCUAACACAUAGUA